GCCAGGGUGAACCUGUAUGUUAGUAUAAUAUUACUUUAGCCAUUGACUCGAGUUCAUGCCUUCUAGGGCAGGAGAUUGAAAAUUCAAAUAUUGGCCCUAGUGCACAAGUCACCCCACGCAUAGAUGUUAGUACAGAGUACGUUUUCACGGCUCAAACCCAUGAUCUUUAGAUCACAAAUGAAUAACUCUAGCUAAAAUUUCAAAUCCUAUAAUUUAUUUAAAAAAU
rnacentral:misc_RNA from 1 species